UUUUUUCUUUGAUAUGAUGGAUUUUUCUUCAGAUUGUUUAUUUGAUGGAACUAUGUUAUUGGGCUGCUGAGUUUCUCUCUUUGCGUUAUAUAACUGCAACCAAUUCCUGCUUAAUUUGCGUCUUUAACAGUAGAUUUCACUGCCAGAACUGGUUUCCUUUAAUCUUGAUUCUGCCAGAACUGGUUUCCUUUAAUCUUGAUUCUUUCUUGUUUACAUUAACCUUUGGGCGCAUCUAGGAAUAAAAGGAUAUCCAAGAAUCUUAUUUCUACUUAUCCUAUUACUAAGAAUGUGGCAUUUCGGUGUUUGGUUCGUAUGGUUAUAUUAUUUAGUCAUAUAUUAGUUAAUCAUAUUAUUUAAGAUUAAGAAAAAUAUAUAUUUAAUUUAUUUGUUUUGUUAAUUAAUUUCAGAUAAUGCUAUAAAAAAUUUCAACAUCAUUUUAGAAAAAAAUGAUAGAGAACAUAGAUUAGAGAGCGAGUAUAAUCAAAGAAAUAGGGAGAAAGAUACAGCCGAAAUUGGAGGGAGUGAGAGAGUUGAAAUUUUAGAAAAAGUGGGGGAAAGAGAUCUUAGCUUAGAGAGAGAAAGAGAGUUAAAACUUAGAGGGAGAAAGAUAAGCUUAGAGAGAGAUAUGAGGUUAGAGAGUAAAAGAAAACAAUACCAACUAGCCGGCGAGUGAGGAGAAAGAAAAAGAUUAAACAUAUUAUGAUUAUUCCAAUCUAUUAAUAUGAUGACACCCACCCUCCCUUAAAGGAAUGAGAUUAGUAUUUUAGGAUGAAUCCCACUCUUAAGUAAAUUCAACAUUACCAACUAAAUUAUUUAGUGCGUUUAGCUAAACACCGUUAUGUUUUUUUAUUCCUAUUGGAUUAUUAGGAAUCUUAAAAAGAUAGCGUGAACCAAACGCACGCUUUGACAAAAGAAUCCUAGCCGCUGUUAGAUAAUAUCGAUUCAUGCAUAAUGCAGCUAUUUUGCUUAUAAACAAUGUAUCUCGAAUGGGAGCAAACCAACUAGAAUAUAUAAAGCUUGCUUGUAUGGCAACACUUGGAUUUUCAGGAUAGUUGAGAUUAUGGUAUUGGUUUUACCAUGAACUUUUUUCUCCCAAUCUUGAUUUCAUAGUUAUAGAAGAAGCAUCAUAUAUACGUAUGCCUUGAUAGGCCUUUACUUGUAAAGUUUUACUUGUGUUCGACUUUUCCUAAUUGCUUGCUUGCUGUGAAAAGUGCACUAAAGGAGUAUGGCAUUUCAUGUGAGCUCAAUUUGGUAGGAGAUCAAUUUGCAUGAAUGUUUUGGUUUUCUCCUUACUGAUUCACCCUUAUGCUUAAUGUGUCUCACGCACCUCAGUCUGAAGCAGUGCAUCUUUUUAGUUUUGAACUCUUUUGACAACGUUGUUAAUUCUGUAUGUUGAGGGUUCCAUGACUAUUUCAACCACUGUGAAGACUAGGGACCCUUACGUCAUUGUUAAAGCAAGGGAUCUAGCAAAGCUUUUGUCGAGGAGUACCCUGCACCUCAGGCAAUUAAAAUACUAAAUGAUGAUAUGCAAUGCGACGUCAUCAAAAUUGGUAACCUUGAACGCAACAAGUUUGGAACAAGAUAUAUAAGAGCUAAUAUACAAUUUUCCUCCUCCGCAGCAACCUAGCAAGAUUGACUUUCAAUUGGAAAGUGGUGAAUAUUUCCUGAGCGACAAAAAGAAACGGCAAAGAAAUGGCCAGAGAAGCUGGAGAAGCAGGCAGAAAAUGCUGCUGAAAACAAGAGAGAGAGAGGCCGCGUUUAUUUCACCAACAGUUGCUUUCGAACUUUUACAGUUUGCUAUUAUUUUAGAGCAGUGUAGUUUCUAUUAUGGAUUCUUUUGCCAGCUUCUUUUUCCCUCACGCAUUCCUUUUGGGUUGAAUAGGAAAACCCUGGACAUGCGGCUAAUUCUGCUAAAAUUAAUAAUGAGAAUAACGAUGUAGCUGCCAUUGCGAAGUCCUUAAAGAAAAAGGCGAAGGAUUUCCAAAAGAAUCAAGAGCAUGAAAACAUUAGAGCUGAAUUAUAAUACCGCCGGUGCCGGAGAACCGCGCUCCAAGAAGAAACACAAAUCUUCAAAAGCCUAAUUAACCGAAGGUCUCCACAAGGAGUUUGUAGCCUACUAAUCUCAUCCAAAAGUUUUAUUCUAAAAGUAGACUUAUGAACCUAAUAUUUGCAAAAAUAGGAUCGAAGUUGACACGUGGGUGGUGUGCUAGCGGAAACAGAUAAACGAGGUGAGACAUGUACCACUUUCACAUGAAAGCGGCAAAUCGUUUACAGCGUUCAUAUGUUUUAUAGAGCCUAAGAAGGCGAUGAAUGGUUCACCGCUUUUAUGUAGUCAAAGUCGAGAGACAACAGAGCAACAGAAAGUUAACUAAAGGCGGUGUAUCAUUUACUGCAUCUAUUUACUGCAUCUAAAGGGGGUGAAUUAUUUACCGUAUCUAAAGGUGGUAAAUCGUUUAUCAUUUUUAGAUGUAGUGAAUGGUUCACCGCUUUUAAUCUGUUUUCACACCACAGUAACAGAAAGCUGCAAAUUUUUCACAUUUUACAAAAUAAUAAUUUUGUUCA